rnacentral:rRNA from 1 species
GAGUUUGAUCAUGGCUCAGAUUGAACGCUGGCGGCAUGCCUUACACAUGCAAGUCGAACGGCAGCACGGGAGCUUGCUCCUGGUGGCGAGUGGCGAACGGGUGAGUAAUGCAUCGGAACGUAUCCUGGAGUGGGGGAUAACGUAGCGAAAGUUACGCUAAUACCGCAUAUUCUGUGAGCAGGAAAGCGGGGGACCUUCGGGCCUCGCGCUCUUGGAGCGGCCGAUGUCGGAUUAGCUAGUUGGUGAGGUAAAGGCCCACCAAGGCGACGAUCCGUAGCAGGUAUGAGAGGAUGAUCUGCCACACUGGAACUGAGACACGGUCCAGACUCCUACGGGAGGCAGCAGUGGGGAAUUUUGGACAAUGGGGGCAACCCUGAUCCAGCCAUGCCGCGUGAGUGAAGAAGGCCUCGGUUGUAAG